AGUGGCGGACGGGUGAGUAACACGUAAGAACCUACCUUUUGGAGAGGGACAACCAUUGGAAACGAUGGCUAAUACCUCGUAUUGCUGAGAAGUGAAAGAUGAAAAUCGCCAAGAGAUGGGCUUGCGGCUGAUUAGCUUGUUGGUGAGGUAAUGGCUUACCAAGGCAAUGAUCAGUAGCUGGUCUGAGAGGAUGAUCAGCCACACUGGGACUGAGACACGGCCCAGACUCCUACGGGAGGCAGCAGUGAGGAAUUUUCCGCAAUGGGCGAAAGCCUGACGGAGCAAUGCCGCGUGGAGGAUGAAGGCCUAUGGGUUGUAAACUUCUUUUCUCAGAGAAGAAUACUGACGGUAUCUGAGGAAUAAGCAUCGGCUAACUCUGUGCCAGCAGCCGCGGUAAGACAGAGGAUGCAAGCGUUAUCCGGAAUGAUUGGGCGUAAAGCGUCUGUAGGUGGCUUCAAAAGUCUCCUGUCAAAGAUCAGGGCUUAACCCUGGGCCGGCAGGAGAAACUCUGAGGCUAGAGUUUGGUAGGGGCAGAGGGAAUUCCCGGUGGAGCGGUGAAAUGCGU
rnacentral:rRNA from 1 species